rnacentral:rRNA from 1 species
UUCCCGGGCCUUGUACACACCGCCCGUCACACCACGAAAGUUGGCAAUACCCGAAGCCGGUGGCCUAACCCGCAAGGGAGGGAGCCGUCAAAGGUAGGGUCGAUGAUUGGGGUG